rnacentral:sRNA from 1 species
ACGAGCGAAGACUUUGGGUCACCUCCCACCCAUGUUUAUUUUACCUUGUUGCUUCGGCGGGCCCGCCUUUACUGGCCGCCGGGGGGCUUACGCCCCCGGGCCCGCGCCCGCCGAAGACACCCUCGAACUCUGUCUGAAGAUUGUAGUCUGAGUGAAAAUAUAAAUUAUUUAAAACUUUCAACAACGGAUCUCUUGGUUCCGGCAUCGAUGAAGAACGCAGCGAAAUGCGAUACGUAAUGUGAAUUGCAAAUUCAGUGAAUCAUCGAGUCUAUGAACGCACAUUGCGCCCCCUGGUAUUCCGGGGGGCAUGCCUGUCCGAGCGUCAUUGCUGCCCUCAUGCCCGGCUUGUGUGUUGGGCCCCGUCCUCCGAUUCCGGGGGACGGGCCCGAAAGGCAGCGGCGGCACCGCGUCCGGUCCUCGAGCGUAUGGGGCUUUGUCACCCGCUCUGUAGGCCCGGCCGGCGCUUGCCGAUCAACCCAAAUUUUUAUCCAGGUUGACCUCGGAUCAGGUAGGGAUACCCGCUGAACUUAAGCAUAUCAUA